CCUCUACACUAUCGCUCGCACUCGAGGAUGAGCCCACGUCCGAUUAGCUAGUUGGUAGGGUAACGGCCUACCAAGGCCACGAUCGGUAGCUGGUCUGAGAGGAUGAUCAGCCACACUGGGACUGAGACACGGCCCAGACUCCUACGGAGGCAGCAGUGGGGAAUAUUGGACAAUGGGCGCAAGCCUGAUCCAGCAAUGCCGCGUGUGUGAAGAAGGCCUGCGGGUUGUAAAGCACUUUCAGUGGGGAAGAACGGAUACGGGCCGAUACCCCGCAUCACUGACGUUACCCACAGAAGAAGCACCGGCUAACUCCGUG
rnacentral:rRNA from 1 species